GUACACUCCUGCGGGAGGUAGCAGUGGGGAAUAUUGGACAAUGGGCGCAAGCCUGAUCCAGCCAUGCCGCGUGAGUGAUGAAGGCCCUAGGGUUGUAAAGCUCUUUCACCGGUGAAGAUAAUGACGGUAACCGGAGAAGAAGCCCCGGCUAACUUCGUGCCAGCAGCCGCGGUAAUACGAAGGGGGCUAGCGUUGUUCGGAUUUACUGGGCGUAAAGCGCACGUAGGCGGACUAUUAAGUCAGGGGUGAAAUCCCGGGGCUCAACCCCGGAACUGCCUUUGAUACUGGUAGUCUUGAGUUCGAGAGAGGUGAGUGGAAUUCCGAGUGUAGAGGUGAAAUUCGUAGAUAUUCGGAGGAACACCAGUGGCGAAGGCGGCUCACUGGCUCGAUACUGACGCUGAGGUGCGAAAGCGUGGGGAGCAAACAGGAUUAGAUACCCGUGUAGUCC
rnacentral:rRNA from 1 species